rnacentral:rRNA from 1 species
GGAUUGGGGACAAUGGGCGAAACCCUGCUCCAGCAAUGCCGCGGGCAGAAUUACCCCCUUCGGUGUGAAACCUGCUCUUGUACUGAACGAAACUCGUUGCGUUAAUACCGUGGGAUUAAGACCGUACCGUACAAAAGCACGCUGGAUAACUGCGUGCCAGCAGCCGCGGUAAUACGUAGGGUGCAAGCGUUAAUCGGAAUGACUGGGGGUAAAGCGUGUGCAGGCGGUUUUGUGAGACAGAGGUGAAAUCCCCGGGCUCAACCUGGGAACUGCCUGUGUGACUGCAAGGCGAGAGUACGGCAGAGGAGGGUGGAAUUACGCGUGUAGCAGUGAAAUGCGUAGAUAUGCGGAGGAACACCGAUGGCGAAGGCAACCCCCUGGGCCUGUACUGACGCUCAUGCACGAAAGCGUGGGGAGCAAAC